UGGUAAAAAGAUUAUAGGGUGGAGGA
rnacentral:piRNA from 1 species